CCCUACUAUGGGAAGCCCUCUUGGACCAGGUGGAAACCGUGAAUUCUUCUCCUUUUUCAGGUUUUGAAAAAGGAUUAACAGAAGAAGAGGAAGAAAGAGGUAUGCAACAGUUACAAGUGGUGCAACCAUUUUGCAAGACCAAAGAGGUGCAAGACCAAGUGCUGCAAGACCAAGAGUUGCAAGGAAACUGUGGCCUGGAAGCAAACACUACUUCCUCACCCUUAUAUCAUACUACACCCACCCUUCCCUCUACAAAAUGACAAAGCAGCAUUAAAUGCUUUCGUAAUAUUUAAAUUUGUUUUAUAAAACUAAUUUGUCCAUGCACAAUCAUGCAGGUAUGGACCAACCCUGUUAUAUU
rnacentral:lncRNA from 1 species